CCCCCGCCUUUAUCCAGACGCUAUGGCAGCUGGUAUUGCGUUCUUGGGCAGACCUACUCCAAAGCAAGCCCCAUUGAGUUCAGUGAGACUUACUCCUGGCAAAGUGCUGUUUAAAGGAACCUAUUUCCAGAACAGGCACGGGCAGCUGUAACCUUUAUCUCACUUGGAGCAGUUUCGUUUUACUGUGAAUCAAGCAAUUUAUAUAAAGGGCUGUCAUGUGGAAGACAGAACUAGCUUGUUUUCUCCUGCUCUGGAGGGCAGGACUUGAACCAAUGGCUUCGCCUUCAAAGUUACAAGAAAGGAGAUUCCAACUAAACAUCAGGAAGAACUUUCUGAAUAGUAAGAGCUGUCUGACAGUGGAACAGACUCCCUCAGGAGAUUGUGAUCUCUCCUUCCUUGGAAGUUUUUAAAAGCAGAGGUUAGAUGGCCAUCUGUCAUGGAAGCUUUGGUUGAGAUUCCUACAUUGGACUACAUGACUAGGGUCCCUUCCAACUUUACAAUAGGGCUAGACUUCUGUGUGGAAGGACUGUAAACUCAUUGUAGUUCUACUACUCAAAAACAAAUCCCUGAUCCAGGAAUUGUUAACUGUAUGUUCUUCACAACUGGCUCCGACUGUGGCACUCAGGGUUCCAGUAAAUAAAUGGAAUAGAUCCCACAA